rnacentral:rRNA from 1 species
GAUGAACGCUGGCGGCGUGCUUAACACAUGCAAGUCGAACGAAGCACUCUAUUUGAUUUCCUUCGGGACUGAUUAUUUUGUGAAUGAGUGGCGGACGGGUGAGUAACGCGUGGGUAACCUGCCCUGUACAGGGGGAAAACAGUUGGAAACGGCUGCUAAUACCGCAUAAGCGCCCAGCAUCGCAUGAUGCAGUGUGAAAAGCUCUGGUGGUAUAAGAUGGACCCGCGUUGGAUUAGCUAGUUGGUGAGGUAACAGCCCACCAAGGCGACGAUCCAUAGCCGGUCUGAGAGGAUGACCAGCCACAUUGGGACUGAGACACGGCCCAGACUCCUACGGGAGGCAGCAGUGGGGAAUAUUGCACAAUGGGCGAAAGCCUGAUGCAGCGACGCCGCGUGAGCGAAGAAGGAUUUCGGUAUGUAAAGCUCUAUCAGCAGGGAAGAUAAUGACGGUACCGGACGAAGAAGCACCGGCUAAAUACGUG